CUGCGGGUAGCUUAAGGUUUAAAGCUCAGGAUUCUUACUCCUGUGAUGUCUAUAAUUUGUAGGACCCCGCAGG
rnacentral:tRNA from 1 species